UACGGAGGUGGCGAGCGUUGUCCGAAGUUACUGGGCGUAAAGCGCGCGUAGGCGGUCUUGUAAGUCGGAUGUGAAAUCCCUCGGCUCAACCGAGGACGUGCAUCCGAAACUGCGGAGCUUGAGUACUGAAGAGGAUCGCGGAAUUCCCGGUGUAGAGGUGAAAUUCGUAGAUAUCGGGAGGAACACCAGUGGCGAAGGCGACUACCUGGCCUGUUCUUGACGCUGAGGCGCGAAAGCUAGGGGAGCAAACGGG
rnacentral:rRNA from 1 species